UCCUGGUUGGCUCAGACACUAGAGCAUGUGACUCUUGAUCUCAGGGUUGUGGGUUCGAACCCCACAUUAGGUG
rnacentral:tRNA from 1 species